GAGUGACUGCGGGCCCCUCUGACGGUAAGCAAUUGCCGCCAUGUCGGAGUCACAUG
rfam:Pseudomonas aeruginosa PAO1, complete genome.